UUGAACGCUGGCGGCAGGCCUAACACAAUGCAAGUCGAGCGGUAGAGAGGUGCUUGCAUCUCUUGAGAGCGGCGGACGGGUGAGUAAUGCCUAGGAAUCUGCCUAGUGGUGGGGGAUAACGUUCGGAAACGGACGCUAAUACCGCAUACGUCCUACGGGAGAAAGCGGGGGAUCUUCGGACCUCGCGCCAUUAGAUGAGCCUAGGUCGGAUUAGCUAGUUGGUGAGGUAAUGGCUCACCAAGGCGACGAUCCGUAACUGGUCUGAGAGGAUGAUCAGUCACACUGGAGCUGAGACACGGUCCAGACUCCUACGGGAGGCAGCAGUGGGGAAUAUUGGACAAUGGGCGAAAGCCUGAUCCAGCCAUGCCGCGUGUGUGAAGAAGGUCUUCGGAUUGUAAAGCACUUUAAGUUGGGAGGAAGGGUAGUAACCUAAUACGUUGCUACUUUGACGUUACCGACAGAAUAAGCACCGGCUAACUUCGUG
rnacentral:rRNA from 1 species